ACUCCUACGGGAGGCAGCAGUAGGGAAUCUUGGUCAAUGGGCGAAAGCCUGAACCAGCGAUGCCGCGUGUGUGAAGAAGGCCUUAGGGUUGUAAAGCACUUUCAGCAGUGAAGAAACCCCGGUGGUUAAUACCUGCCGGAUUUGACGUUAACUGCAGAAGAAGCACCGGCUAACUCCGUGCCAGCAGCCGCGGUAAUACGGAGGGUGCGAACGUUAAUCGGAAUUACUGGGCGUAAAGCGCGCGUAGGCGGUUUGAUAAGUGGGAUGUGAAAGCCCUGGGCUCAACCUAGGAACUGCAUUCCAAACUGUCAGGCUAGAGUAUGGUAGAGGGAGGUAGAAUUUCCUGUGUAGCGGUGAAAUGCGUAGAUAUAGGAAGGAAUACCGGUGGCGAAGGCGGCCUCCUGGACCAAUACUGACGCUGAGGUGCGAAAGCGUGGGGGAGCAAACAGGAUUAGAUACCCUGUAGGCUCUG
rnacentral:rRNA from 1 species